rnacentral:rRNA from 1 species
UACGGAGGGUGCGAGCGUUGUUCGGAAUCACUGGGCGUAAAGCGCGUGUAGGCGGCCCAUUAAGUCUGAUGUGAAAGCCCGGGGCUCACCCCCGGAAGUGCAUUGGAAACUGAUGGGCUGGAGUCCCGGAGAGGAGGGUGGAAUUCCUGGUGUAGCGGUGAAAUGCGUAGAUAUCUGGAGGAACACCGGUGGCGAAGGCGGCAUCCUGGACCGGCAUUGACGCUGAGGAGCGAAAGCCAGGGGAGCAAACGGG